ensembl:snRNA U6 U6 spliceosomal RNA
GUGCUUACUUCAGCAGCACAUAUACUAAAAUUGGAAGAGAAGAUUAGCAUGGCCCCUCUGCAAGGAUGAUGCACAAAUUCAUGAAAUGUACCAUAUUUUU